GAGUUUGAUCGUGGCUCAGGACGAACGCUGGCGGCGUGCCUAACACAUGCAAGUCGAGCGAAGAUGUAUCUUCGGAUAUAUCUUAGCGGCGGACGGGUGAGUAACACGUGGGCAACCUGCCUUAGUGAGGGGGAUAGCCUUCCGAAAGGGAAGAUUAAUACCGCAUAACAUAUUGAUGCCACAUGGGUAUUGAUAUCAAAGGAGUAAUCCGCACUAAGAUGGGCCCGCGGCGCAUUAGCUAGUUAGGUGAGGUAACGGCUCACCAAGGCCACGAUGCGUAGCCGACCUGAGAGGGUGAUCGGCCACAUUGGAACUGAGACACGGUCCAGACU
rnacentral:rRNA from 1 species